rnacentral:lncRNA from 1 species
CCAAGACAAGCAAGUCUUUGUCAAAUGCUUGCGAUGACAAGGCCAAUGAGCUCCUCCUGCCCCUGAGAGGGCUCCAGCUGCUCCUGACCCUGGGCCUGGCUGUUCAUCUUCUCUUCAGCUUCAAUCUCUUCUGAUGUGGGGAUGGAGUUCUUCUUGGGGCGACCUUUGGGUUUUGUGGGUGCUUCCUGUCCACCUUUAAGAACCUACGGUGACAGUGAGGGUGACCAACAGAUAAUGUGUAUGAAAGGACCAGAACGGCACCUGAAUGCUAACACACAGAUAUUAAGGGGACCUUUAACGAGGUAGAGAUGCUGACAGAAACCAACCCUGGGGAGAAGACGUUCCCUGUAUUUCUUUUCACCUUUAUAGGGCAGCGAGGGCCACAUAACUGAUGACUGUUUCCAUGAAGCUGAGAAACAAGUUUGGAUUCCCCAGCAUGAAUCUCCUCCCAGACACUGCUGCUCCCAUUAGCUGACUUUCUCAGCCUGAAGAUGUGAUGUUCCACUGGACCUCAGGCAAGGCCCCAAAUGCCAAGGCGCUGACUUGGAGAUGACUGGGGAGCAGGGACUGAGAAAGGACAAAUGCUCAGGGCUGUGCGGAGUCCCUGAAACUCAUAGAAUUCACUUUUGGCUUAUGUAUCCUGGCCUCCAAAUAUUUGGAUUCUCUGAAGACAUGGAUUUUGUGGCUAGGUCUUCACCUGCAGCUGAGUGAGUCCCAGAGACUGAGCCAAGUCCAACCUAG